rnacentral:pre_miRNA from 1 species
AGUGUGAUUGCUGAGUCAUAUGGUAAGGGUAUGUUUAGUUUUGUAAGAUAUUGCCAAACUACCUUCCAAAAUGGCUGUACCAUUUUGCAUUCCCACCAGCAAU